rnacentral:rRNA from 1 species
CCCUUAGAUGUCCUGGGCCGCACGCGUGCUACACUGAUACGUGCAAUAAGUGCUCCUGUUCCGAAAGGCAACGGGUAAUCUAUAAUACGUAUCGUGAUGGGGAUAGAUCCUUGUAAUUAUGGAUCUUGAACGAGGAAUUCCUAGUAAGUGUAAGUCAUUAUCUUACGCUGAUUAAGUCCCUGCCCUUUGUACACACCGCCCGUCGCUACUACCGAUUGAACGUUUUAGUGAGGUAUUUGGACUGGACCUUCGGAGGUUCGCGCCUCCGUUGCUGUUCGGGAAGACUCCCAAACUUGAGCGUUUAGAGGAAGUAAAAGUCGUANCA